rnacentral:snRNA from 1 species
GGAUGUGAGGGCGAUCUGGCUGCGACAUCUGUCACCCCAUUGAUCACCAGGGUUGAUUCAGCUGAUCUGGCUGGCUAGGCAGGUGUCCCCUUCCUCCCUCACCGCUCCAUGUGCGUCCCUCCCGAAGCUGCGCGCUCGGUCGAAGAGGACGACCUUCCCCACUAGAGGAGGACCGGUCUUCGGUCAAGGGUAUACGAGUAGCUGUGCUCCCCUGCUAGAACCUCCACACAAGCUCUCAAGAAACCUGUGUCCCAGUCAGAGUCCCGGGAUUCGAGUUCUCACCUCCGCUCCUGCUUCCAGCUCCCUGCUAAGGCACCCUGGGAGCAUGG